rnacentral:rRNA from 1 species
UACGGAGGGGGCUAGCGUUGUUCGGAAUUACUGGGCGUAAAGCGCACGUAGGCGGAUUGGAAAGUUGGGGGUGAAAUCCCGGGGCUCAACCCCGGAACUGCCUUCAAAACUCCCAGUCUGGAGGUCGAGAGAGGUGAGUGGGAUUCCGAGUGUAGAGGUGAAAUUCGUAGAUAUUCGGAGGAACACCAGUGGCGAAGGCGGCUCACUGGCUCGAUACUGACGCUGAGGUGCGAAAGCGUGGGGAGCAAACAGG